rnacentral:rRNA from 1 species
GAUGAACGCUGGCGGCGUGCUUAACACAUGCAAGUCGAACGAAGCACUUUUACGGAAUCCUUCGGGAGGAAGUGACUGUGACUGAGUGGCGGACGGGUGAGUAACGCGUGGGUAACCUGCCUCACACAGGGGGACAACAGCUGGAAACGGCUGCUAAUACCGCAUAAGCGCACAGUGCCGCAUGGCACGGUGUGAAAAGAUUCAUCGGUGUGAGAUGGACCCGCGUCUGAUUGGCCAGUUGGCAGGGUAACGGCCUACCAAAGCGACGAUCAGUAGCCGGCUUGAGAGAGUGACCGGCCACAUUGGGACUGAGACACGGCCCAGACUCCUACGGGAGGCAGCAGUGGGGAAUAUUGCACAAUGGGGGAAACCCUGAUGCAGCGACGCCGCGUGAGCGAAGAAGUAUUUCGGUAUGUAAAGCUCUAUCAGCAGGGAAGAUAAUGACGGUACCUGACUAAGAAGCUCCGGCUAAAUACGUGCCAGCCGCCGCAGUAAGAC